GUGCAAAGUGCUGUUCAAACAUUGAGUCAGCAAUGAACUCUGCACGCCAGCCUUUGGUGCAUGUUAAAUUCAAAACAAGCCUAGCGUUUUUUUUUUUUUUUUUUUUUUUUUGGAUAGAAACUGGUGGGGGUGGGGAAAGAAUGAGGGAACUGGGAAGAGAAGGAGGGGAAGUUAAACCUUGCUUCCCACUCUGUCUUUCUCAGAAAACCAAACAUGGCAUCUUCCAUGAGGAGCUUGUCUUCUGACCACGGGAGAUAUGCUGAAUCUUUCCGGAGGUUUCUCAGCCAUUCCACGGAACACCAGUGCAUGCAGGAAUUCAUGGACAAGAAGCUGCCAGGCAUAAUAGCAAGGAUUGGAGACACAAAAUCAGAAAUUAAGAUUCUCAGCAUAGGCGGAGGUGCAGAUUUUCUCAUUUGGAGAAGCUCCAGGGUUCUCAAGCAGAAUUCGUGUUUCAUUUUGUGUAGUACCUGUCAGAAAGACAAGCCAGACAUGAGGAUACAUGAUGAGCACUCUUCCGAGUUGCCAUUUGGAGCUGGCCAUUUAAUAAGGCACAUCUUCCUUUCCCUCAUUCCUAGUUUCCUAAAGCCUCUUUUAAGUGUCACCUUUUCCUUGAAGCCUACUUGACCACACAGUUGAAAACUGCAAAGCCUUCACACAGCAGCUUCCCUUUUCUUUGUUGCUUUGGGUUUCUCCAUGGGACUUCUCACCAUCCAUAAAAAAUAGGGUUUUUUUUUUUUGCCGGUUUUAUUCACUGCUACAUCUCCAGUGGUUAGAACCUGACAUUUAGUAGGUGCUCAAAAAAUUGGUUGAAUUAAUGUAUAA